rnacentral:rRNA from 1 species
UACAGAGGUCUCGAGCGUUGUUCGGGUUCAUUGGGCGUAAAGGGCGCGUAGGCGGCGGGGUAAGUCUGGUGUGAAAUCUCGGAGCUCAACUCCGAAAUUGCACUGGAUACUGCUCUGCUUGAGGGUUGGAGAGGAGAUCGGAAUUCACGGUGUAGCAGUGAAAUGCGUAGAUAUCGUGAGGAAGACCAGUGGCGAAGGCGGAUCUCUGGACAAAUCCUGACGCUGAGGCGCGAAGGCUAGGGGAGCAAACGGG